GUGCAACAGAGAGCAAACCGCCGAUGGCCCGCGUAAGCGGGAUCAGGUAAGGGUGAAAGGGUGCGGUAAGAGCGCACCGCGCGGCUGGUAACAGUCCGUGGCACGGUAAACUCCACCCGGAGCAAGGCCAAAUAGGGGUUCAUAAGGUACGGCCCGUACUGAACCCGGGUAGGCUGCUUGAGCCAGUGAGCGAUUGCUGGCCUAGAUGAAUGACUGUCCACGACAGAACCCGGCUUAUCGGUCAGUUUCACCU
rnacentral:RNase_P_RNA from 1 species